rnacentral:rRNA from 1 species
CGCGUAGGUGGUUCUUCAAGUCAGAUGUUAAAUCUACCCGGCUUAACUGGGAGCUGUCAUCUGAUACUGCUGGACUUGAGGGUGGUAGAGGGAGGUGGAAUUCCCGGUGUAGUGGUGAAAUGCGUAGAUAUCGGGAGGAACACCAGUGGCGAAAGCGGCCUCCUAGGCCAUUCCUGACACUGAGGCGCGAAAGCGUGGGGAGCGAACAGGAUCAGAUACCCUGGUAGUCCACGCCCUAAACUGUGGAAACUAGGUACAGGGAGUAUCGACCCUUCCUGCGCCGUAGCUAACGCGUUAAGUUUCCCGCCUGGGGACUACGGUCGCAAGACUAAAA